rnacentral:lncRNA from 1 species
AGCCUCCUGAGUAGCUGAGAUCACAGGUGUGCACCACUAUGCUUGGCUAAUUUUUUUUUUUUAACAUUUGCAGGGACAUGGCCCUGACACGUUGCCCAUGUUGGUCACAAAUUCCUGAGCUCAAGCGAUCUUCCUGCCUUGGCCUCUCAAAGUGCUGGGAAUGCAGGUGUGAACCACUGUACCGAGCCUGAAAACUAUUUCUGUGUUUGACUUUCUUUAAGAUUAGACCUCAGAUUCAGGAUUAAACAGAAUCAAG